ACCGCUCAUCGGAUAAUCAUAGAGAGCAUACUGGAACAGAGCGGACUUGAGCGGGUGUGGAAUCGUGAGUACGCAACCUUUGUAUAUAUAAUCCUGCCUCUUAGACUACCGAGUGACGCCGAGAGGAAAGGUGAAUCGAUAUAGAUGAGACUCUUAAAGACUCGACUGUCAAAGCAGAGAGGUGAGAAGCUGUUGAGCACUGAGCGAGGUGGCUAUGAAAUGGUAGUUAAACUGAGAUGGUAGGAGGGAGACAGGUGGGGUGGGGGAUGCGCCAGAGGAACGUAUUCAGAAACGCUUCGCUCUCUCAUCACGAGUAUAUUCAAAAGCCACCAGUCUGUAUGAUUAACUGUGUGUUUCUCCUCUUAAUAAUGUAGAAACGUUGUUAAUCUGUCACUAGAGCCGUAAAAAAUCACUUGAAAACUCGUGUAACUUCAACUUUGUAGUGGAGGUGCGGCGCAGGAGUGUUUCAGGGUAUGGGUCCGAGUCCUGCUUGAGUGGCUUUGAUGGAUGAGUGUUGGGAAUAUUUAGAGGAGGGUGGAAUAUUUAGUUUCAUCUCCAAUCAUGUGUGUUGGUAAUGAUACACUCUUAGAUGGAAUGUACUAGUGCUAAGUCCUUUUAUUUAUAUUAUCGGCUUCUCAUCCUCCGCAGUGCAGUGCUCAGCAGUUGUGUGAUCAGAGAAAACCUCGUGCAGCUGCCAUCCACUGCAGCAUAGAAAGAAGACGGGAGGAGUGUAGUGGUGGGACAUAUGCCUUCGUUUUAUCUGUUAAAAUCAUGCACAUGAUUUGUGAAUUUCAUGAACUGAUAACUAACAGACAUACUGAACGAGAAACAAGGAAAGGUAGAUCCUGAAUUGCAUUUGUUUGUCUGUAUAAUGGAGGUUGUCAAUUCCAUGUCAGCAACUCUUGUACCGCCGCCCACGUGACAUCACUGGGUGGCUGUCAGUCCUGACUCCUGAGCGUGGGAGUGAGGCGCUUGCUCGUCCAUGUAGAUGAAAUGGAGGACAACGACCAUAAGUUCAUCACGAAAGCAUCGUCACCAAAAAUCUGAGGUAUGAAAGACGAACACCAACAUGAACAGAGUUUUGAGAAAUGCUUGAAAUGAGUGACACCUUGAAUGAGGCAGGAAAUGAGGACGUGUUCCCUGACUGAGCUGCUUGGGGACAGGCGUAAUCGCCUUUUCUCUCAGGAGCACAAUACAUUUACAACAUUAUAAUCUUCUCAGUAGUUAGUCAGUAAUUCACCAAUGUUCUCGGAACUUAAUGACGACUAUCAAGGAUCUUUUAUAACAAAGCCGCCUCCGCCUUCCCAGCCUCCCCGCCCCCAUCUUGCGUCAUGCGCCUCAUUGCCCUCUGCAGUUUCCGGAGUUUUCCUCCAAUAACUUAUUAGUAUUUUUCUUACUUUACGUUUGCUUCAAGACUAUUGUAGAGCAUUUAUUAGUCAUGAAACAUUUGUUCUUUUAGUUACUUUCCUUAAGGUCAAGACAACCUCCUCAGCCUUCCUUCCUUCCGGGACACAAGCACCUGCCGUCCAGGCCGCGCGGAGCAUGAAGGGCCCUGCGGCGGACAGGCCACCAGGGAGAGGAGGAGGCUCGGAUGCCUGUCACCGCCGACACGACUGGAAAAAUGUCAGACUUACACUGUACAAUAAUUGAAAGUUUGCACGUGCACGCAACAGGAAAUGACCGAAGGAACUACAUUGUUCCAUAAAUUAAGAAGAGACGCUUCCGAGCCAAGAAGGGACCUGCAGAGCAUCCCAUCUGGGCCCGCCCGCCGCCCUAAACCCCGGCGGCCACAAGAGGGGCGUGUGGGGUCCGUUGGAAGUGUGACGUCGAGACACACCGGGGCCGUCACGGUGGGGCAUCCUGGGAGGCUCGCUUGUUGCCAGGAUGGUCAGAUCGCCCUUAAUAUGGCGCCCUGCCACUGUGCCGGCCCCUUCCACCACCACCACCACCACCACCUCCUCCUCCUCCUCCUCCUCUUCCUUCGUAAUUAUCUACUCAGCGGAUAAAUACUUAGCCAUUGCAAUACAAGAUGCCAGUGCCAGUGAUGCCUGUUGUGCCUGGCUGACUUACCUGUAUUACCAUUAAUAAUACGCCAUGAUCGCCACGCCCUACACUGUCAUUAUACGCGCUUCUUUGAGGCUCAACAGUAUAAUUAUGUAUAGUCCUUACUGAUAAAAGAAAAUAGAAAGCAGUAGUGACGUUUAUUUAGCUGAAUUUUAUGGAUAUUGAAUCACUUAGACAAUACCUCCUUCUACUGGUGUUUCUUGCCUUUUAUCACAUCCUCAGUCAAAUCUCAGUCCCAUCCAUUUCCAAGAGGACAGCCCCGCGCGAGGGAUUGGAGUGGGUGGUAGAGUCUCCCCCUCUCUCAAAAGUGCCACGCUGUUCCUAUUAGCCAAGCAUCCAGUGUCCUCUGCUUAAUUAUCAUCAU